rnacentral:tRNA from 1 species
UCCUCGGUAGUGUGGUGGUGAUUAUCUCCACCUGCAACGCGGAAGGUCCCGGUUCUAUUCCCGGCCGGGGAG